AUGAACGCUAGCUACAGGCUUAACACAUGCAAGUCGAGGGGCAGCAUGGUCUUAGCUUGCUAAGGCCGAUGGCGACCGGCGCACGGGUGAGUAACACGUAUCCAACCUGCCGUCUACUCUUGGACAGCCUUCUGAAAGGAAGAUUAAUACAAGAUGGCAUCAUGAGUCCGCAUGUUCACAUGAUUAAAGGUAUUCCGGUAGACGAUGGGGAUGCGUUCCAUUAGAUAGUAGGCGGGGUAACGGCCCACCUAGUCUUCGAUGGAUAGGGGUUCUGAGAGGAAGGUCCCCCACAUUGGAACUGAGACACGGUCCAAACUCCUACGGGAGGCAGCAGUGAGGAAUAUUGGUCAAUGGGCGAGAGCCUGAACCAGCCAAGUAGCGUGAAGGAUGACUGCCCUAUGGGUUGUAAACUUCUUUUAUAAAGGAAUAAAGUCGGGUAUGGAUACCCGUUUGCAUGUACUUUAUGAAUAAGGAUCGGCUAACUCCGUGCCAGCAGCCGCGGUAAUACGGAGGAUCCGAGCGUUAUCCGGAUUUAUUGGGUUUAAAGGGAGCGUAGAUGGAUGUUUAAGUCAGUUGUGAAAGUUUGCGGCUCAACCGUAAAAUUGCAGUUGAUACUGGAUAUCUUGAGUGCAGUUGAGGCAGGCGGAAUUCGUGGUGUAGCGGUGAAAUGCUUAGAUAUCACGAAGAACUCCGAUUGCGAAGGCAGCCUGCUAAGCUGCAACUGACAUUGAGGCUCGAAAGUGUGGGUAUCAAACAGGAUUAGAUACCCUGGUAGUCCACACGGUAAACGAUGAAUACUCGCUGUUUGCGAUAUACAGCAAGCGGCCAAGCGAAAGCGUUAAGUAUUCCACCUGGGGAGUACGUUCGCAAGAAUGAAACUCAAAGGAAUUGACGGGGACCCGCACAAGCGGUGGAGCAUGUGGUUUAAUUCGAAGCAACGCGAAGAACCUUACCAAGUCUUGACAUCCCGUUGACCUGUUAUGUAAUGUAACAUCUCUUCGGAGCAACGGAGACAGGUGGUGCAUGGUUGUCGUCAGCUCGUGUCGUGAGAUGUUGGGUUAAGUCCCGCAACGAGCGCAACCCUUAUUGUCAGUUGCCAUCAUUAAGUUGGGCACUCUGGCGAGACUGCCGGUGACAAACCGGAGGAAGGUGGGGAUGACGUCAAAUCAGCACGGCCCUUACGUCCGGGGCUACACACGUGUUACAAUGGGGGGUACAGAGGGCCGCUACCACGCGAGUGGAUGCCAAUCCCAAAAACCUCUCUCAGUUCGGACUGGAGUCUGCAACCCGACUCCACGAAGCUGGAUUCGCUAGUAAUCGCGCAUCAGCCACGGCGCGGUGAAUACGUUCCCGGGCCUUGUACACACCGCCCGUCAAGCCAUGGGAGCCGGGGGUACCUGAAGUGCGUAACCGCGAGGAGCGCCCUAGGGUAAAACUGGUGACUGGGGCU
rnacentral:rRNA from 1 species